AGAGUUUGAUUAUGGCUCAGAACGAACGCUUGCUGCAUGCUUUAUACAUGCAAGUCGAACGGAGGCCCUAGCUUGCUAGGUGUCUUAGUGGCGCACGGGUGAGUAACACGUGGGAACAUACCUUAUAGUACGGAAUAACUGCGGGAAACUGUAGCUAAUACCGUAUAUUCCAGCAAUGGGAAAGAUUUAUCGCUAUAAGAUUGGCCCGCGCAAGAUUAGCUUGUUGGUGAGGUAAAAGCUCACCAAGGCUUCGAUCUUUAGCUGGUUUGAGAGGACGAUCAGCCACACUGGGACUGAGACACGGCCCAGACUCCUACGGGAGGCAGCAGUAGGGAAUAUUGGACAAUGGGGGCAACCCUGAUCCAGCAAUGCAGCGUGAGUGACGAAGGCCUUAGGGUUGUAAAACUCUUUCAUCGGUGAGGAUAAUGACAGUAGCCGAAGAAGAAGGACCGGCUAAUUCCGUGCCAGCAGCCGCGGUAAUACGGAAGGUCCUAGCGUUGUUCGGAAUUACUGGGCGUAAAGCGCAUGUAGGCGGAACAGAAAGUUAGAAGUGAAAUCCCUGGGCUCAACCUAGGAAUUGCUUUUAAAACUUCUGUUCUGGAAUUCAGGAGAGGAAAAUGGAAUUUCCAGUGUAGAGGUGAAAUUCGUAGAUAUUGGAAGGAACACCAGUGGCGAAGGCGAUUUUCUGGACUGAUAUUGACGCUGAGAUGCGAAGGCAUGGGUAGCAAACGGGAUUAGAUACCCCGGUAGUCCAUGCAGUAAACGAUGGGUGCUAGUCGUCGGACUUUUGUUCGGUGUCGUAGCUAACGCGUUAAGCACCCCGCCUGGGGAGUACGGUCGCAAGAUUAAAACUCAAAUAAAUUGACGGGGACCCGCACAAGCAGUGGAG
rnacentral:rRNA from 1 species